UAACACAUGCAAGUCGAGCGCACCUUCGGGUGAGCGGCGGACGGGUUAGUAACGCGUGGGAACAUACCCUUUGGUACGGAAUAGCCUCUGGAAACGGAGAGUAAUACCGUAUGAGCCCUUCGGGGGAAAGAUUUAUCGCCAAAGGAUUGGCCCGCGUUAGAUUAGGUAGUUGGUGGGGUAAUGGCCUACCAAGCCUACGAUCUAUAGCUGGUUUUAGAGGAUGAUCAGCAACACUGGGACUGAGACACGGCCCAGACUCCUACGGGAGGCAGCAGUGGGGAAUCUUGGACAAUGGGGGCAACCCUGAUCCAGCCAUGCCGCGUGAGUGAUGAAGGCCUUAGGGUCGUAAAGCUCUUUCGCCUGUGAAGAUAAUGACGGUAGCAGGUAAAGAAACCCCGGCUAACUCCGUGCCAGCAGCCGCGGUAAUACGGAGGGGGUUAGCGUUGUUCGGAAUUACUGGGCGUAAAGCGCACGUAGGCGGACUGGAAAGUUGGGGGUGAAAUCCCAGGGCUCAACCCUGGAACUGCCUCCAAAACUAUCAGUCUAGAGUUCGAGAGAGGUGAGUGGAAUUCCGAGUGUAGAGGUGAAAUUCGUAGAUAUUCGGAGGAACACCAGUGGCGAAGGCGGCUCACUGGCUCGAUACUGACGCUGAGGUGCGAAAGUGUGGGGAGCAAACAGGAUUAGAUACCCUGGUAGUCCACACCGUAAACGAUGAAUGCCAGUCGUCGGGUAGCAUGCUAUUCGGUGACACACCUAACGGAUAAGC
rnacentral:rRNA from 1 species